rnacentral:tRNA from 1 species
UUCUAAAAAAAGGCGUAACCUUUAUAUAUGGAGUUUAAGACCAUUGCACUAAUCUGCCAUAUUAGA